rnacentral:tRNA from 1 species
ACCUAUUUGGCUUAGUUGGAAAAGCAUGUAACUCUUGAUUUCAGUGUUGUGAGUUCAAGCCCCAUUUUGGGUG